rnacentral:rRNA from 1 species
ACGUUAGCGGCGGACGGGUGAGUAACACGUGGGUAACCUACCUAUUAGACUGGGAUAACUUCGGGAAACCGGAGCUAAUACCGGAUAAUAUUUCGAACCGCAUGGUUCGAUAGUGAAAGAUGGUUUUGCUAUCACUUAUAGAUGGACCCGCGCCGUAUUAGCUAGUUGGUAAGGUAACGGCUUACCAAGGCGACGAUACGUAGCCGACCUGAGAGGGUGAUCGGCCACACUGGAACUGAGACACGGUCCAGACUCCUACGGGAGGCAGCAGCG